rnacentral:rRNA from 1 species
ACUAAUUCUAGCCCCAAAUCCGCCCAAUACAACUACCACAACAAGAACCAAACAAAACAUUUACCCGCAGAUUAAAGUAUAGGAGAUAGAAAUUCUACCCCGGCGCUAUAGAGAAAGUACCGUAAGGGAAAGAUGAAAGAUUAAUUUAAAGUAAGAAACAGCAAAGACAAACACUUUUACCUUUUGCAUAAUGAGCUAACCAGAACACCCUUGGCAAAGAGAACUUUAGUCAAGUACCCCGAAACCAGACGAGCUACCUAUGGACAGUAGUAAGAACCAACUCAUCUAUGUUGCAAAAUAGUGAGAAGAUCUAUAGGUAGAGGUGAAAAGCCAAUCGAGCCUGGUGAUAGCUGGUUGUCCAGAACAGAAUAUUAGUUCAACUUAAAAUUUACCUCACGAACCCAAAAAUUUAAUCCCACUGUAAAUUUUAAUCAUAAUCAAUAGAGGUACAGCUCUAUUGAACCAAGGACUAAGCCUUAGCCGGAGAGUAAACUACAAUCGUUUCCCAUUGUUGGCCUAAAAGCAGCCACCAAUAAAGAUAGCGUUCAAGCUCAAAACUCAAUCCCACUCUAAAUCCCACAAACCACUAGUCACCUCCCGACACCUACCACUGGACCAAUCUAUCAUUAAAUAGAAGAGAUACUGUUAACAUCAGUAACGAGAAUAUUUUCUCCGCGCAUGAGCUUACAUCAGAACGGAUAUCCCACUGAUGAUUAACAACAAGGCAAUUACAACCCACUAAAUAAUAACAUUCCGCACUUAUUGUUAACCCAACACAGGCAUGCACACCGGAAAGACCCAAAGGAGUAGAAGGAACUCGGCAAACACGAAUCUCGCCUGUUUACCAAAAACAUCACCUCUAGCAUUACAAUUAUUAGAGGCACUGCCUGCCCAGUGACAUAUGUUCAACGGCCGCGGUACCCUGACCGUGCAAAGGUAGCAUAAUCAUUUGUUCUCUAACUAAGGACCUGUAUGAACGGCCAAACGAAGAUUCAACUGUCUCCUAUUCCCAGUCAGUGAAAUUGACCUUCCCGUGAAGAGGCGGGAAUACACAUAUAAGACGAGAAGACCCUGUGGAGCUUCAAUUAAUUAGCUCAACAAUAACCACCUACCCUCCCCCGACAGGAACAAAUCACAGGUAAGUCAUGAGCUACCAAUUUUGGUUGGGGUGACCUCGGAGCAAAACAAAACCUCCGAAUGAUAAGAACUAAGACCAACAAGUCAAAGUCCAUUUUAUCACUCAUUGACCCAAAUUAUUGAUCAACGGACCAAGUUACCCCAGGGAUAACAGCGCAAUCCUAUUAAAGAGCCCCUAUCGACAAUAGGGUUUACGACCUCGAUGUUGGAUCAGGACAUCCAAAUGGUGCAGCCGCUAUUAAGGGUUCGUUUGUUCAACGAUUAAAGUCCUACGUGAUCUGAGUUCAGACCGGAGCAAUCCAGGUCGGUUUCUAUCUAUAACCAAUUUCUCCCAGUACGAAAGGACCAGAGAAAUAAGGCCAACGUCACACGCGCGCCUUUAACCCCAAUAGAUGAAAUUAAUCUAAAUCUAGACCAGUACACCAACCACGCUCUAAAUCAGGGCCUU